ensembl:lncRNA
GCAGAAGCCACCAAGCAAGCAAGAGGAAGCGAACGUUUGAUACAAUGAAAUUUAGACCUAGUAAGCUGUAGAUUUGACCAAAAAAAAAACAUCUUCAUGAAUCUAAUUUAAAAUGUGCUUUGGCUCUCAGUCGAUACAUUAUUAUCGUCCAUAGCCGAGUAUCCACGACACAUUAGAAAUAUCACCAAAAGAGCGAGGAUGUUGGUCCCCGCGGGAAGAUAAUGAAGAGGUUGCGCGAUUUGUUGGUGUGCCUCAUUGUUGCUCUUCUGUGCUGGUGCCCCAGUAAUUAUGUGUAUAGUUCAGAGCAAAGCGUGCCCAGUCCAGCUCAGUCUGGUGGGGACACAGACCCUGAGGUCCACAAACGGACCAUGGAGGGGGCCCUGGAGCAGGAGUCCACUCGGCACAAGACUCUGACCCCAGAUGAGGCGUCUUCAGCGGCAGAUAUCCCACCAGACCAUCAAACCGACUUUAUACCGGGUUCUCCUGAAACCAGAAAAGACACAGAGCCCCAGACAUACUCGGAUCCACACUCUGAAGGCCAGGACCACGACCGGGCAGCCCAGGCUCUACAGUCCCCCACUCCCUCUACCUCCUCCACGCUGGUCACCCCAGACCAGCUGCCACCUCCAGCCCAGGACCAGGCUACCACAGACAUUACUCCACCCCGAGCCCUCCUCCCCGAGCCGACGGAGGGUUCCGGCGAUGCCCCCGCGCCGCAGCCCACCUUGGAGGCUGUCCCAUCGGCUGACCCCUCCGGGGAACAGUCCCCACGCGACAUCCAAGACGCGCCUACCUCAGGGAGCGUCGGCUCC